AUGAACGCUGGCGGCGUGCCUAAUACCUGCAAGUCGAGCGAACAGACGAGGAGCUUGCUCCUCUGACGUUAGCGGCGGACGGGUGAGUAACACGUGGAUAACCUACCUAUAAGGCUGGGAUAACUUCGGGAAACCGGAGCUAAUACCGGAUAAUAUAUUGAACCGCAUGGUUCAAUAGUGAAAGACGGUUUUGCUGUCACUUAUAGAUGGAUCCGCGCCGCAUUAGCUAGUUGGUAAGGUAACGGCUUACCAAGGCAACGAUGCGUAGCCGACCUGAGAGGGUGAUCGGCCACACUGGAACUGAGACACGGUCCAGACUCCUACGGGAGGCAGCAGUAGGGAAUCUUCCGCAAUGGGCGAAAGCCUGACGGAGCAACGCCGCGUGAGUGAUGAAGGUCUUCGGAUCGUAAAACUCUGUUAUUAGGGAAGAACAAAUGUGUAAGUAACUAUGCACGUCUUGACGGUACCUAAUCAGAAAGCCACGGCUAACUACGUG
rnacentral:rRNA from 1 species